rnacentral:tRNA from 1 species
GUUGGUGUGGCAGAGCACGGUUAAUGCAAGAGGCCUAAGCCCUUUAUACAGAGGUUCAAAUCCUCUCCCUAACU